UACGAAGGGGGCGAGCGUUGUUCGGAAUUACUGGGCGUAAAGAGCUCGUAGGCGGUUUGUCACGUCUGCUGUGAAAUCCCGAGGCUCAACCUCGGGCCUGCAGUGGGUACGGGCAGACUGGAGUGCGGUAGGGGAGAAUGGAAUUCCUGGUGUAGCGGUGGAAUGCGCAGAUAUCAGGAGGAACACCGAUGGCGAAGGCAGUUCUCUGGGCCGUAACUGACGCUGAGGAGCGAAAGCGUGGGGAGCGAACAGG
rnacentral:rRNA from 1 species